CCUCAACCCAUACAACUGUGUGGGUGUGUGCCCUGUGAGACGUGAUGCGGUAUAACCCCCUGUGAUGCGGUAUAACCCCCUGUGAGACGUGACGCGGUAUAACCCCCUGUGAGACGUGACGCGGUAUAACCCCCUGUGAGACGUGACUCGGUAUAACCCCCUGUGAGACGUGACGCGGUAUAACCCCCUGUGAGACGUGACGCGGUAUAACCCCCUGUGAGACGUGACGCGGUAGCUGAUGCCUCGUUGAUGCUGGGGUUCUAUCCAGGGUCAUUCUUCAGUGUGUUUGAUCAGCUGCAGACCCUUUUUGAUGACAGAUACAGAGAUCACUUCCCUGAGAGGAAUGUAGAUUCUGAGAGGAGCUGUGCUUAUCUGGACACUUUACACAUUACACAGAUGAUAGCAAAAACCUGUCCUCCUACAAACACGUACAUAUGUUUUACUACUUUUGUGGGGACCACAAAUUCAUUUCCAUUUAAAAUCUAUUUUCCCAACCUUAACCCUUAAACCAUCCCCAUGCUCCCCACCCGAAACAGUUUGCGCAUAUUUGGGGAGCAUAUUCAAUAUUUUUUUUAUCUGUAAAAGCAGGGUGUCUGCAGAAAGCUGAGUAUCUUGACUAUUGACCUGUGCCUUAAAAUCUUUGGUUUGACUUACUACCAUAUGUGGGUAUACAAAUGUAUAAGGGCAGGCCGAGCCAAUGACCUCAUUUCAAGAUGGCUGCUACCUACAUUCCGGUUUAGCAUUGUGAAGCAUAAACUAAAUAAACACAGAAUAUGUUGAUUCACACUGAAAGCGGGGACUCCACAGAUCAUGAGGAUAUCUUAUUUGUCUGCCUGUGACCUACCGUUAUUGAUCACCAGCCCAGAGAGUCACAAUGUUUAUUUUACACAACGUUUUCACCAAACAGCAAAUAUCUUAUUUGUCUGCCUGUGACCUACCGUUAUUGAUCACCAGCCCAGAGAGUCACAAUGUUUCUUUUACACAACGUUUUCACCAAACCGCAAAUAUCUUACAAGGUAAGCUUUUAUUUGGUCUGUGUUUGAGCUAAAGCUACAUGAAUCCUUAGGUUGAUAGGAACAAAUCUAGCCUAUUGCCAUGUUAUCUAAUUAUGUAUGACUUAAUGGCAACAUCGACUGUCCACCGAGUGACUCUUUGCGUCUCAAAAAUAUGACGUUGCCUGCUUACGCGCUGUAGACAUCUAUUAUUCAGGGGAUUGGCUACUAUGGCACCUUGACAGUCUUGUAGCCAAUGAGAUGAGCUUUCCAGGGAUAUGCAAUUGACCUGGGUGGGACAAGGCCUAGAACCAUUUAUGCUUAAUGCAAACUAUUGCUACCUGACUCAGAGAUGCACCUUGUAAACAGAUUUCAUCACUUUCAUUUUAUCACUUUAGCAUGAAAGAUGGUUUCUCAAGGGGUAAAAACUAAGAAUAUCUAACAGGAAGCUAAAAGCAAGGCAGAUAUUAAUAUGUAUUCCGACAUAGAAGCUUUGAAUAAAAUACUGGUUGGACUCGGAUCAGGGUAACAAUUUGGACAACAAGGAUUUCGACUCGGCCGAAGAUUGCUUUCUCAAAGGAUUGGAUCCACUGUUAGAUCUAGGAUGCAGAGGAUUUGGAUGAUGACGUUUGUGAGCCACCUCGCCCCAGUAAGCGCCCCCGCUGGUCAAGGUCUUCCCCCACCCCCCCAUGUCUGGUGGUUCUACAUCCAAUUUUUAAUAGACCUCUUGAAAAAGAAAAUACGGGCUUGUGGCACCAUUCAUACUAACAGAAUCGGAGACCAAGGUAAACAACAUGACAAAGAGAGUGGAGAGGGGGACCAUACAUAGGAUCAGGACUAACAAGCUGCUUUUUGUGAAAUGGAAGGACACUAGGGCAUUAACCAUGCUCACAACACAGCAUAAGGCCUUCAAUAACGACCAUGUCUCAAGGGUGAAAAAGGAAGAAUGUCCCCGUUUCUGGGAAGGACUACAAUGCCAGCAUGCUAGCAUGGGGGGUGUCGACCUAUCUGAUGCUCCUCCACAAGACCAGGAAGUGGUAGAAGACUUUUUGUUAACUUUGUGGACAUUGCUACAGUAAAUGCUUUCAUUCUCCACAAGCAAAAGGUCAAACCCCUCUCCCAGUUGGCUUUCCAAGAGCAGCUGGUGUUGGAAAUGGCUAAAUUGGGGGCCCAAAGCAACCUCAGAAUCGUCGUCCAACAUCCAACAUGCAUGCCAAAAGACAAAAGGAAGAACUGCAAGUAUUUUAUUUUUAUAUUUUUUCACACCUUGUAACCAACACAUGUAAUCAACUUUGUUUGAUAAGACAUUUUUAUGUACAGUAGCAGUCAAAAGUUUGGACACCUACUCAUUCAAGGGUUUUUCUCUAUUUUGACUUUUCUACAUUGUAGAAUAAUAGUGAAGACAUCAAAACUAUGAAAUAACACAUCGAAUCAUCUAGUAACGAAAAAAGUUUAACAAAUCAAAAUAUAUUUUCUAUUUGAGAUUAUGCAAAGUAGCCACCCUUUGUCCUUGAUAGCAUUGCACACGCUUGGCAUUCUCUCAACCAGCUUCACCUGGAAUGCUUUUUCAACUGUCUUUAAGGAGGUCCCACAUAUGCUGAGCACUUGUUGACUGCUUGUCCUUCACUCUGCAGUCUCUCAAUCCCAUUUUUUUCUGAUAUUUUUCACUUGUUGUGGAAGCCAUCUGAUGUGUUUUCAGCUCUGGGCAUCAAUAAUUCACACUGAUGGCUUUCAAAAUAAAACAAAUAAAAAUGGUUAUUUUGUGCGUGCUUGAUCUCGUGUAUUCUGAACUAUGUAAGGGUGUAUAUGACACAGGAGGUUGGUGGCACCUUAAUUGGGGAGGAUGGGAUUGUGGUAAUGGCGGAAUUAGUGUAAUGGUAAAUAUAUCAAAUGCAUGGUUUCCAUGUGUUUUAAUGCGCUCUGUUCUAGCCAUUAUUAUGAGCCGUCCUCCCCUCAGGAGCCUCCACUGGUAUGCAAGCACACUCGUUCGGUUUUGCCUACCCGAACUCGGCAGGAAGCCUAGCGGUUACGAGCAUUGGGCCACUGACCGAAAGGUAGCUGGUUUGAAUCCCAGAGCCGGCAAAGUGGAGCACGGUAAGGCAAUUAACCCCCAACAAACUGUUCCCUCUCUGAGGGGUUGGGUUAAAUGCUGAAGACACAUUUCAGUUGAAUGCUUUCAGUUGUGCACCUGACUAGGUUACCCCUAAUGACCGACAGACGGUAGCCACAGCCUGUUAGGAAAGAAACACUUUGGCCAUAGUGUGAAAAUGAACCUUUUAGCUUUAUACAGUUAAAUACUUUAAAAACAUUGAAUCAUCACAACCACUUACAUGUAUCUUACCUUACGUUACCUUACCUUCACCCCACCUGUACCUUACCUGUACCCCACCUGUACCUUUCCGUUCCUUACCUGUACCUUUCCGUUCCUUACCUGUACCUUUCCGUUCCUUACCUGUACCUUUCCGUUCCUUACCUGUAUCUUUCCGUACCUUACCUGUAUCUUUCUGUACCUUACCUGUAUCGUGCCCAACCGUACCUUCUUUUUUAUGUGUAUUUUAUUACGGAUCCCCAUUAGGCAAUUACAUACAAAAUAAAACAGUACAUCACACAACACGUUAUUACACAGUACAAUACCACAACAUAUCUAAAGUACCAAAUCCAUAAUACAGCAAUAUUACAAUGUACGAGUGUGUCUUCACAGUCUGCACUGUUCCAUAAGGUGUAGUUUUAAAAAAUCUGAUUUUAUUGCUUGCAUUUUUUUAUUAGCUUUUAUUCAUGAGUUACUUGAUGUGAAAUAGAGUUCUUUGCUGCUCUGUUCUGGCCAACUGUAAUUUGCCUAUGUCCCUCUUAGUGGCACUUGAUCAUGUGACUGGGCAGUAGUCCAGGUGCAACAACUAGGGUCUGUAGGACUUUGGUUGAUCGUGAUGUCAAGAAAGCAGAGAAGCACUUUAUUAUGGACAGACUUCUCCCCAUUUUAGCUACCGUUGCAUCAAUAUGUUUUGACCAUGACAGUUUUACAAUCCAGGGUUGCACCAAGCUGUUUAGUCUCCUUCAACUUGCUGAAUUUCCACAUUAUUCAUUACAAAACUUAGUUGAGGUUUAGUGAAUGAUUUGUCCCAAAUACAAUGCUUUUAGUUUUUUAAUUUUAUAUUUCGGACCAUCUUAUUGAACAGUUAAUGAAAUGGCUACACAUACUAUUUACAUUGACCCCCUUUAUUAUAUAUCUGUUUUAUUUGGGAAAAUGCAAGGUAUUGCUGGCAAUGUUUGUUUUUUUUUGGUGGGGAUUCUCUCUUCCAUUCUUCUUGUGCGUGCCUUUUACUUCUCACAAGGGAACAACCAAACUCAGUGUGGCUUUGAAUGUUGCCAGGUUUCUCGUGGGCAUUGAUUUGCACCAAGUUUGCGUGGAUAUAAAGGAUGUGCCCUGGGGAAUGCCUGACUCUACCUAGAUUAUGUUGGAGAGGAUUCCAUUAAAGAACACCCUCUGUUCUGUUAGAUGGGUAACAAGAUAUAGCAGCAGAUGUAAAGCCAUAAUACACAUUUUUCCAGCGGCAGAUUAUGAUCAAUGUCAAAAGCUUCACUGAAAUCAAAC